rnacentral:lncRNA from 1 species
CAAGGAGGCACCUGUGCCCUGUUCAAGGCUUACCUUAAGAUCAUAGAUAUUUCAAGGUAAAGUAUUUGAUCAUACUGUAAGACAGCUAAUAGAUAUUAAAGACAACAGGUGGUCCACAGUCAUAUUGUCUUCUCUUCUCCUCUAUUCAGAUGAUGAUUUAUUCCCAUAGCACAUUGAGCUCCAGAAACAAAAUGGGCUUGAACUUGUCUAAAUUACCCACUAUGCACUGCAUGAAAAAUAAUAUCAGCACAGUUAUCAAAUCAAUCAAAGAAUUAAGGAGGAAGAGCUGAUCAUAGCCAUAUGUUGCUUGGGAAAGAACGUGUCAACAGUUGAUCAGUGUAACCAAUCUGUGAACCAAAUCCGUAGUCUUUCUGAGAGCUAUUUGAUGAAAGAGAUGCUUUAGAUGGUUGAAAUUUUAACCUGCAGAUUGAGUGUUUAUGUAGAUGCAU